CCCUUAGAUGUUCUGGGCCGCACGCGCGCUACACUGAAUGGAUCAACGUGUUUUCCCUUCCCGAGAGGGACGGGUAACCCGCUGAACCCCAUUCGUGGUAGGGAUCGGAGCUUGCAAUUGUUCUCCGUGAACCAGGAAUUCCCAGUAAGCGCAAGUCAUAAGCUUGCGUUGAUUACGUCCCUGCCCUUUGUACACACCGCCCGUCGCGCCUACUGAUUGGAUGACUCGGUGAAGAAUCGGGACCGUGAGAACAAUCGAUUCAUUUCGAAUGUACUUGUGGGAACCUUUCUUAACCUCGUUUUCUAGAAGAAGGUGAAGUCGUAACA
rnacentral:rRNA from 1 species